CAUUAUGAAGCUAAUAUAGCAUUAACCUUUUAAGUUAAAGAAUAGGAGUCUAAGCCUCCUCAUAAUGAC
rnacentral:tRNA from 1 species